rnacentral:rRNA from 1 species
CUGCUGCCUUCCGUAGGAGUUUGGGCCGUGUCUCAGUCCCAAUGUGGCCGUCCACCCUCUCAGGCCGGCUACUGAUCGUCGCUUUGGUGGGCCGUUACCCCGCCAACUGGCUAAUCAGACGCGGGCCCAUCCUGCACCGCCGCAGCUUUCAAAAAUAUAUCAUGCAAUAUAUUUUAUUAUGCGGUAUUAGCACCUAUUUCUAAGUGUUAUCCCCCAGUGCAGGGCAGGUUGCCCACGCGUUACUCACCCGUCCG